rnacentral:lncRNA from 1 species
GUUUCAUCUAUAUCUCUUUUUUUGUCUUGUAAAAAAACCUUCAUCGGGAGCCACAAAUAUUCUCGCUUACCGGCAUGUCAAUUUUUGUAUUUUCAGACUGCUUGAAGCAUCAUAAUGCAAACGUUCACACUUUCGCGAACAAACACGCAUUCGCGGAAAAACGCACUUUAGCGUGUCGUGGCAUCGCACUUUAGCGUAUACCAUCGCACUUUAGCGUGACCAUCGCACUUUAGCGUCCCCA